AAAUUGAAGAGUUUGAUCAUGGCUCAGAUUGAACGCUGGCGGCAGGCCUAACACAUGCAAGUCGAACGGUAACAGGAAACAGCUUGCUGUUUCGCUGACGAGUGGCGGACGGGUGAGUAAUGUCUGGGAAACUGCCUGAUGGAGGGGGAUAACUACUGGAAACGGUAGCUAAUACCGCAUAACGUCGCAAGACCAAAGAGGGGGACCUUCGGGCCUC
rnacentral:rRNA from 2 species